GCCCCCGUUGUCUAAUGGCUAUGACGUCAGACUUCUAAUCUGGAGGCUGCGGGUUCGAGUCCCGCCGGGGGUA
rfam:Postia placenta Mad-698-R POSPLscaffold_287_Cont7999, whole genome shotgun sequence.